CAUUAGCAAUAGAAUAUUACAAAUCCCUAAUCCCCUUUCUUCCUUUCCAUUGCCGAUUUGAUUUUGAUUCACCCACCGCCAUAGCUAGAUUCAACUUCCCUUUUCCAAAAACCAUUCAAUCGAUAUAAGACCCAAUUCUUCAAACUGGAAACCCUAAAUCUCCAAUAUCAUCUUCUCCGCCGUCUGAAAAUCCUCGGAGGCAAUCACAGGGACAGUUGGAAAUUUAUCUUCAAGAUUCUUCAAGAAUUUUUAGUUUCAAUCUCUUAGUCACAUUCUCUCUUCUAUUUGAACGAUCUAUCAUACUCUUUGGUUUUGGUCAAUUUACUCUUUAGUUUUAUAUCUUUCUUCUCUUUGAUUUUAUGUCCUUCUAUUCUACUACUCUUUCUACGUUUAUUGGAUUAAUGUCAUGAAACUCUUUAUUGGAUUCAGAUUUCUA